rnacentral:lncRNA from 1 species
AAAAAGAAGCAUACUUGUAAUGCCAUAUCGGCAACCUUCCGAACAGUUCCGCAUCACUCAUCGUCCCAAACAUGUCAUUCUCAGGAGUGGCGCAUAAAGGGGCAAAGGCCGAUGCUACUUGCUCGCUAUUCAACAACAAGUUGCAACCCCCUGGAAUUGUGAUGUAAUGGUCGGACCCCUCCGUCCUCACUUCCACACUAGUAUGGCCACCCAGAAAUUCAUUAACGUCCUCAGGAGCGAUAUCAGAACCUGAUCCGUCCUCUUCUAUAUGAGGCCCGCCGACAUUGGACGACGCAUCCCCUUUAGUAGAAAGUGCCAAACUCACCUUGGGUCGACUCUCUCCUUGCAGGCUGAUUUCCCUGAUAGAAUGGGGUCGGCCAUAAACACGGGCACUGGGGCUGCCCGAGAUGCUCCACUUCCAUCAGCUUCAGUGGCUACCCCCUUUACUAUCUCCAAUAUUCUCUUUUUUUCUUUCCAAAGGCUUGUUUCCAUUAGAAGAUUCGUCAACGUGACGUGGGGCCAGUACCAACAAGGUCAUGUCUCGCAUAGUUAUAGCUGCGGAUAUGGCCCCCUCUUGAGGAAGUAGAGGAUGACCCUCCCGGACAGACUCACACAAAAUAUCUAAAGCGUCCACCGUAUCACUGGGUCGCACAAAAUCAGGGACUGGCGCCCUCCUCCUAGAAGCUCCCCGACCUGUUGUCACAAAAUCAUACGGUUAUGCGUGGUCACAAGACUGACGAGAAAAAAGUAGAAGUUUACCUGAGGAAAUUUUAGGGCCGUAACAUUGUAAGAAGGCAUACCAAGUUUGAGUCUCCUCCGCGUGGGGCAACAGUCCGGUGACCCAGUUCCAGAGACCGAUAAUAGGCUGGGGUGGACGAGCCAUAGCUCCAAUACAAAAGAUUAGAAAGUUGCAAUAAUCGCGGGUAACGAGGAAUCUAAUGAACUACAACACUUAUGAGUUUUGUUCCACCUAUGUGGAAAUCUAGCGGGGUUUGAGAGCACGUGCUCGGUCUUGAUGAAGAAAUAUUUGUGCCAAUAUUUAUGGCUCGCCCGGUCGUCUGUUAUGACCACUAACCCCUUUGUACCGUGAAGCUUCAAAUGCACCAUGGUCCCUCCAUGAAAACCAGCUGAAAAUAAGUGCAAGAGAUUAUGAACGGAGACGUCGCAUUCAGCCAAUUCUACAUACUUGGUCAGCAACAAAAGCAACUUGAGCGUAUAAGGAGUAAGUUGUGCUGGACAGAUGUGAUAGAAUCUGCAUAACUCAUCCGGCAAAGGGAAGAGAGAAAGGCUGUAGCCGAUCGAAAAUGGGUAUUCACAAAAGGCACAAUACCCUUGCCUAUGAGCAUCAACGUAAUCUCCCCCCGCCAGGACCAUAUCUACAUGGGUGGGUGAUGAUAGGCUAUAAUUACGUAAUUAGUCAAUUAUUACACUCUAAUUUAUUGCACUUUAGUUGAGUUUGCGCUUAAUCGCUAGUGUUUUGCACUUACGGUGUGUUUUAUACCUUGUAGGAGUGAUUGUGAGCUAAAGAUGUUAUGAAAUAAAUUCAAGUGAUUUGGAGCUUUCAAGUCUGAGUAAAAGUCCAAGGAAUUAAGCGGGGAUCGUGUCAGGGGUCAACUUUGAUAGUUAAGAAACAACAAAGACUCGAGUAGGCAUAUUUUUCACUGUCUAGUAAAAGGUACAUAACUCUUUUCUCAGAACUCCAUUUAGGCUCGACAAUAUAUGGUUGGAAAUCUAACUCAAAGUGCUACAACUUUCAUGUUUUACGGUUUUCCAAAAUCCAAAUGGAACAGGGUGAAAGGUGCGCAUAAAUAGUGUAGCCACGCCUAGGCCGCACUCGCCAGGCAGAAUACAGGACAAUAUGCGUGGCCACUAGCACGGCCGUGCUAGUCAAACCCGAGAAAAGUGUCCUUUUUCACAUGAAGAAGGUAUAAUUGUUUGGUAUUAACUAUACUUGGUAUAUAUACAUGGAAAAAUGGUAUUUAGAGGGAGUUGGACAGAUUUUUGAUACAUAUUCGUCCUAUGGAGGCAGAGACAUAAUAUGAGCAAGGUGGAGAAUUCUUCUACGAGUCCUUCCUCUUCCUAUUUUUCAUUGUUGGUUAUGACUUUUAGUAUUGUAGUUUUACAUCUAUUAUGAAUAGCUAAUUUUUCAUCUAGCGUUUUGAUAGAACCUUUUGUAGGAUAAAUUCUUGUUAUGUUUUUAUAUAAUUGAGUCGUAGCUUUUCUCUAUUUGUUCAACUACGUUUAUAUUGUGGUUAGUUGAAGAGCUCUCAGUUAGCUAUUCCUGUUUAGUAUGUAUUACUCGGGAGAAAGUGCAUAUUUAGGUAGUUGUUGAACAACAUCACUCCUGACGUAUGUGAGGAAUCAAUAACUAGGGGUUUAAAGGUAGGAUUAGGGAUAACGAAACCUUGGGUGCGAUCUAAGUGAGUUGUAAUUAAAGCCAACUAGCGUAACUCGGGAGAGUAUAUCUAGUAAAUUAUCGUAACUACUCGCAAGAUAAUUAAAACAUGCAAAGCGCUCGUGAUCGGUAGAGAAUACAUAGGCAAAAUUAUAGAAGACAUAGCGGAAAAGAUUCUGACAAUUGGGAAAAUCAUAACUCUAGACCUCCUUAAUCUUUUUUCUAACAUGUAGUAUCUUUAGUGUUAAUCUACUAAUUUAAUUAUUUAGUUAAGUAGAUAUAAGAAUCUUAAUAGUUAUAACUUAGGAAUUGUUCGAACAUAUCUUCUUAGCAAUAUUGAAUAGUUGUAGCUAAGCCUUCGAUCUCUGUGGGAUUUGACUCCAGACUUGUAAACCGGAUUAUAUUUGCAACGACCGCUUAGUCCUUUUUAUAAGGCAUAGUUGGGCGUGAUAAGCGGGGAUGCCAUACUUUAUGCAGAGAUCAUCCAAGUGAGUCUGAACCGUUUGAGAAAGCAUGGGGGUCGGAGUAGUGGGCUGGUCCUUGAGGAAAUCACUCGGAGACAAGGGAUGCCUCGGUACUAAUGCUUCCACUGUAAGAGGACUGUCACCUUCCUCCAUCUCCACCUCUCCGCCGUUGGAGAACGGUACUGCCUUCAACAGAGCAACCUCAGGUACCCCUUUGUUAGUGCGACGAGAUCUCGGCAUGAUUUUGUUUGAAGAAAGUCACACAAAAUGGAAUGAAGAAGAAGAAAAAUCUCCGGUCAAGAACGAAAGUGAGGAAAUGUGAAAAUAGAAGAGGAGGACUGGAGAAUUCUCAAGAAUGGCUAUAGUUCUUCAACGAAAUUGAACCCUUCACCUAUUAAUAGGAUUGGGUGGCACCAGUAUCGAAGUGGUAGGCGUUAAAUCAGCACGAGAAACCAAGCACCAAAUCGUCAUCUUUUCCAUCUCGAAAAUAUGCAUAAUGAUGACGCAUGCGAACGCUGACGUCACGCAAGGUGGAGUGUUCGCCUCAAUGUUCUGCCAAAUAUAAUUGUUGUCUCCUAUUGACUACGUCGUAGCAUUUCGACGAGUCAAAUUCUCCUUAAAGGAGGCAUUAAUUCCGCCCAUCAAGGGCGCAUCUCGUUGCGACCUCGACGAGUGGAGGAACUAACCGUAUGGGUUCGAAUUUGAUCGAUCACGUCUCAAGGUUAACACGACCAACUACCAGGUACCUACGAGUCGAUACAGGGGGUACGACUUAGGGGUAAAAGGAGAGACGUCUUUGCGUCAUCGUUAGGAUUUGUUGUAGUAGGUACUUCUUAAUUUGUCGUUCCUGUGAUUAAGUAAAAAUCCUCCAUUAUAUAAAAGGGAUUCAAGUCUUGUAAUCAACACAGAGUUCAUAAUGUACAGGUUGAUUCUCUCUCUCUCUCUCUCUCUCUAAUAUUUCUCUCUCUACUGGUCUCUCUUCUUUUUUAAUAUUGUCAUUCGAUCUACCAAAAUUGUCUUAGGGUUUAUUAUUUUCGACUACAAUUUACUCCUUUAUCUUUUUUGAUUGAUUUACUUAGAAAAAAUUUAACAUUUUUUGAGUCAAACAUUAACAAAGAUUAUUAAUCCUAUUGAUAAUACUAGCUAGGUUAAUAUUAUCGAAUCACUUCAUUGCUAUGUCGGUGGAUUAGAGUAAAGGGGAAAAUAUAGUAAUGUUGGAUGUAGCCAAAAAGUGAAGCGGAUAUUGUAGGAUGAACAAUUCACUUUCCACGUUGAGUCAUUGACUCAAUUCAGUGUCCUUUCCGUUUGUGCUUUUUUAUCCUCUUAAUCACUCAUUGCGCAUGCCAAACCUAAUUAGAGAAGAAAAUUACAAGUUCCUUGCUAGGCCAAAACGGCAAGCAACUCCUCUUUUGGCUAAAUUCCAAAUUUGGUCGUAUGCCUAUUUGAUUAGAGUAAAGGCUGAGGGAGUACAACCAAUCAAAAGCUUUGUGCUACAGUUCCACUGAUCACUAUUCUACUACACUUUAUAUGUUAUUUAAAUGUUUUUGGUAGUUGAAGAAGGCUACAAAAAUAAAAUAACCGAAAGUAAUUAAAAAGUGAUUUAAAUAUAACUAGGGUUCAAAAUUAAUAUUUGUAAUUUGUGUUUAGUUGGGUGCAGUAUCAUUUACCUCUGAAUAUUUGAUUGGGGAAUAUUAUCAAGCUCUAGUUAUAUAGGAUGCACGGCAUUAAACUUGAGCAAAUUUGAUUUAUCUGGCAAAAAUGUGGUCCAACGUAAGCUGAGGGGAGGGGGGCUCCUUGUGUUCCACCACCCAUCUUACCUUUGUAACUUUCUCGACGUGGAAGCCGACUAAUCAAACAUAUUCAACGUCUAAGAACAGCUGAAGCAGCCUGCUCUUCGUCGACAUACCGUAAUAUUUUUACCCUUGCUUUUCAUUAUUAUUACAUCAAUUGUCAUUCUACCAUUUCAUAAAUAAAGACAACUUUUGAGAUUUUUUCAAACCUUACUUUCUCUCCACAAGUACAUAGUACAAAAAUGUGGGGCUCAUAAUUUAGUGAACAAAGGAAAUUUUGGAAGAUUUUCGACAGAUGCAUAGUAGUAUCUAAAGAUGGGAGGGACCCAUUUGAACACAUAUUUAUCCAACAGUUCUCCACAUAUACAUAGUACAAUUUGUCAUACCACUAUUCCUUUAAAGUUGCAUCAGUUUAUAAAUACAUAAUACAACAAAAUUUAAAAUUUUUGUAAAUCAAAUAUAUUUGGCAGCUCAUUUAUUUCAAGCAAAAAUUAAAAAGGAAAUUGUAUUUAAAUCCAAUGAAAUAUUAAUUUUUUAUGCAAUUAGGACCUAAUAGAUAACAAAUUGUGGAGUUUGAAUAGCAAAUAUGUUAAAUCAACAGUUAAGCUUGAAUAUUAAAAUCGACAAGUUAGAGCGUAGCAGAAUAAAUUCACUAAAUAAAAAAUAUAGCAGAAUAAAUUCACUAAAUGAAGAAUAAUUUUUAUAUAUAAAUAUGUGCUAGGUUUAAGUUCAACGUAUGUCAAUACGUUAUCAAAAUAAGUGUUUAUUUAUAUAAUCAAAAAAAAUUUAAUUUAUUUUUUCAAAAUUACCCUUACGUACGUAUUCCUAAAAAGUAAUUUACUCCUCAUAUUUGAGAAGAAAAGUAAGUGCCACUAUAACUAUGGUGCAAUUUUUAAUGAAAGAUAGUUUAGUCACACUAACUAUUUUUCUCUAGAAUUUUAUAUUUCCUUAAUAGGUGUGUCCAAAGCAAAUUGAUCACUUAUUGUGGCCCGAAGAAAAUAAUAAUUAACAUUAUAAAUUCAUGAAAGAGAGUAAAUACGAUACUGUAACAUUUUGCAUUUAAAUAGUUUGUAAUGCUUUCAAAUAAUAAUAUUAUUAUUCGGGCGCAACUCAUUCAAUAUGAAGGAAUGUGCAUACCUUUUUUUCCCCAAUAAAAGUAAUAUUAUGUACAUAAAAGUUAUUGUAAAUUUUACAUUAGUUUUGCAAUUUUAAAUUAGUUUCUAAUUUAACUUGUAUGAUAUUAUUUCUAAACUAUUAACCCUUAUAUUGUCAUGAGUUUAUUUACUUUUAGAUACUAAUAUUUAAGCUGAUUGCUAAUUUUGUUAUUAAUUAAUUUAUAUUUUCUAUUUACCCUAAAUUCAGUGGACCAAAUUCACUAGAAUAUAUAGUAUGAAAAAAAUUAAUAAUUUAUAAUAUUUUAAUUUAGUUACUUCUUUAGUUGCAAGUGAUAUGUGCAUUUGCAUUACUACCGUUUGAAAUUAAUUUGACUAUCCUUCAAAAAUAAAAAAUGAUAGAAACUUGUGUUAAUAUUCCAUCCAAAAAUAUUUCUCAUGCUCAUUUAUUAUUUAUAAUUAUUUUUAAUAUCAUAUGCGAAAUUUAAAUAUAAUAACUAUAUCUUAAAAUUUAGUUAAAAUUAUUGAGUUGCCCAUUGGUAUUUAGUGUUCAAUCUCGAGAAAGUUGACUCAUUAAGAAUAUUCAAGUAGUAGAUAUUUUAUAGCUAAGCAGUUAAAUAUUUUAAUAAUUUUCCUUAAUAUUUGAGAAUAUUGAUUGAAAAUUAAAAUUAUCUACAAAGUAUAUUCUAAGAAAAUACCAAUUAAAAUAGUACUAUGUUGAGUCCAUGGCGCAACACGGGCUUCACUUCCGCUAGUAGUAUAAGAAUUCAUGCUACCAUAACCUAGGAUUUUAGGAGUAGUUAUUUUGAUUGGCCGUUCAAAUUUGAGAAGGUCACUUAGCUAUCUCACUCGAAGCGAGCUUUUUCCAGCUAAUUAUUUGGUCACUCAAGCGCUCUAUUGUUGAAAUUCGAAUACAUAUACUGAGCCAGCACAACAAAAAUUAAAUAAGGAACGUAUAUGAUUGUUCAAGUGAUGAGAGGAAUUCCUUGAAAGAACCUGGAGAGAAAACCUAAGGAGUCUUCUAGUCUGUGUCUAUGGUAGGAUGGAGUCACAUGCGUAUUUAUAGGUAGGCUAGGGGCUCUUAGGCAAAACAUUUACACAAAUAACUUCUCCAUAAAUUAUUAUUACCCUAAGGACUCCUAAUAUAUGGUAAUUUCUUUUCAUCAAAGAAACUACCAUAUUAUCUGAUAUAUUAUUUCCUUUUGGAGACAAGGUAAAUAGUUUAUUACCUUAUAUCUGGGCCACACUAGAAAUUAAAUCUCUAGAAAGAGACGGUAGUUUUCAUAAAUUCUCCCAAUUGGCCCACAUAUUUAAAAUCAAAUAAUCCUUUAUGAGAGGUAAACAAAUAGUAUGACCAUUGACUUUAUCACUCAACUAAAAGUUAUGCAACAAUCACUUUAGCUAGACCAUAUUAUUAUAUGAAUCAUGAAGGUCAUGCUCUUAAAAAAUUACUUCCUUCCAUGUAUUACAAUGCACAAUAUAUUCUAACAAAAUGUCAACAACUUUAUGAAUGAACUUAGUAUAAGUCAUCCAAAGUCCAACUUUAUUGCUCCAAUGAUAACAAAAUAAUACAUGAAAAAUCAAAGUGUGCACUAUACUGUUUAUAAAAAUAAAUAUAUUAUGUAGACAAACUGUAAGAGAACAAAACAAGGCUAAAUUGAUUUACCAAGACCCAUAUGGCUCACAUGAUCCUUGAAAAUAUUAGCCGACAGACCUUUAGUCAUAGGAUAAGCACUCAUGAAAGUAGUAUUAAUAUGUUCAAAACUCACAUCUUGCUUCUUCACAUAAUCUCUAACCAUCAAGUACUUUAUGUCAAUGUGCUUGCUUCGACUGCCACUUUUAUUAUUCUUAGAAAAGAAUACUGCAGCUGAAUUGUCACAGAAGAUUCUUACUGGCCUUGAAAUGGAAUCGACAACCCUAAGGCCGGAAAUAAAGUUUUUCAACCAUAACGCCUGUGAUGUAGCUUCAUAGCAUGCUAUAAAUUCAGAUUCCAUUGUGAAUGUUGCAACAAUGGACUGCUUGAGACUUCUCCAAGACACAUCACCUCCAGUAAGAAGGAAAAUAUAUGCUGAAGUAGAUUUACCAGUGUCCUUGCAUCCACCUAGGUCAGAGUCUGAAAAUUAGAUGUUGCAAUAAUGGUCUGCUUGAUAAUUUUUCAAGACACAAUACCUCCAGCAAGAAGAAAAAUGUAUCCUGAAGUGAAUUUACCAGUGUCUUUGCAUCCACCCAAAUCAGAGUUUGAAUAACCAAUCACCUUCAACGAGUCAGAGUAUUUGUAUGUGAGCUUAAAAUCUUUGGUUCCUUGCAAAUAUCUCAAGACCCAUUUACCUACUUUCCUAUGGUCAAGACCAGAGUUACUUUGAUAUCUUUCAAGCAUUCCUGCCGCAAAAGAAAUAUCAGGUCUAGUACAGACCUGUGCAUACAUAAGGCUCCCAACAAGCAAAGCAUAGGGAAUGUCUUUCAUUUGCUCCUUUUCCAAUGCAUUUUGUGGACACUGAUUCAACGAGAAUUUGUCACCUUUAAUUAUGGGUGCUGAUAUAGGUGUAUGGGUGUUAAAUGGGCGGGUCAAAAUGGAUUGUGUCAAUAAUUGGACGGGUCAAAUGAUCCAUCCAAAACUUACUUGGGCUAAAAUGAGUUGGGUCAAGAUAGGUUAAAAUUUAGGUCAUAACCCAACCCGCCCAACUCUAUGUCUUUUUGAAUCUCUAUGCCAAUGACAUAAGAGGCUUCACCCAUAUCCUUCAUCUCAAAAUUAUGGAUAAGGAAUUAUUUAGUCUUGUGCAACAAUCCCAAGUCACUACUUGCAAGCAAAAUAUCAUCCACAUAUAGGACUAAAAAAAUAUAUUUGCUCUCACUUAUCUUAAGGUAUAUACACUAAUCAAUGAUGUUCUCCGUAAAUCCAAAUGAAGAAACAACAUUCUGAAAUUUAAUGUACCAUUGGCGGGAAGCCUUUUUAGCCCAUAAUUAGAUUUAUUCAACUUGCAAGUUUUGUCCUUACCACAAAAUUCUUCAGGCUAACGCAUGUAUACCUCCUCUUCAAUAUCUCCAUUCAAGAAAAAUAUUUUCACAUCCAUUUGAUGUAACUCUAAAUCAAAAUGAGCUACUAAUGCCUAUGAUUAUUCUUAAUGAAUCCUUCUUUGAUACUGGAGAGAAGGUUUUAUGGUAAUCAAUGUAUUCCCUUUAAGUAAAACCUUUGGCUACAAGUUUGGCUUUAUAUCAUCGAUAUUACCAGGUGAUUCUAUUUUAGUUUUAAAGACCCACUUGGAACUUAUGGUAGAGGAUCCCUUUGGUAAUUCCACGAGAUCCCAAACUUUAUUUUUAGACAUAGAUUUUAACUCUUCUUUAAUGGCAACAUGCCAAAGUGUGGAGUUUUCUCCACUCAUGGCUUGUGAAAACGAGCAUGGAUCAUCUUUUAGUCCAUUAUCAUUAUCAGACUCGUAGAUACACAAUAUAGUCACUAGAAAUUGCUGAUUUUCGAACUCUUGAGGAUUUUCUUACUCCCACUGGUUCAGGCAUUUCUUCAGUGGGUUUAGGUAAAACGGGUUGAUCUUCAUGUGGCUCCUCAAGUGGUGGUAGAUCUUGAACUUGUUGUUGUUCAAAUAAUUUAUGAGAGUGUUUCUGAGCAACAUUUAAGUUUUCAAUACAUAAAGGUAUCGCAGGUGGUUCCCUUAUUUCUUCCUAUUCCACCCUUUUAGUCAAUUCACUCCCACUUUCUUAAUGUUCCUCAAAAAAUUUAGUAUUCCUAACCUCAACAAUAUUAGCAGAAUGAGAAGGAUACUAAAACCUAAAUCCCUUAGAGUUAGCUGCAUAGCCUAUAAAAUAACCGCUUAUUGUUCUUUCAUCCAACUUCUUUAGUUGUGGGUUAUAAAUCCUCACUUCAGUUGGACAUCUCCAAACAUGAAAUGAUUUAAUCUAGGUUUCCAUUCUUUCCAUAACUCAAAAGGUGUCUUGGGGAUAGUCUUGGAUGGAACCCUAUUUAAAAUAUACACAACGGGUUAUGUAAAUAAUUUAAACUAGAUUUCCAUCCUUUCCAUAAUUCGAAAGGUGUCUUGGAGACAGCUCGGAUGGAACCCUAUUUAAAAUAUACACAUCGGUUUAUAAGGCUUCACUCUACAAGGAUAAAGGUGAAUUUGAUACUCUAAUCAUGCUUCCUACCAUAUUCAUCAAUUUUCGGUACCUACUUUCUGCCACACCAUUUUUUUGUGGUGCUCCUGGAAUUGUAUAUUGAGCAAUUUUACCUUCAGCUUCAAGGAACUCAGCAAGUGUACCCUUAACUUGUCCCUUAUUUGUGUACCUACCAUAAUAUUCUUCACCUAUAUCAGAUCUUAUAAUUUUGAUCUGAGCACCUGUUUGUUUCUCUACUUCUAUUUUGUAAACUUUAAAAGCAUCAAGUGCUUCUGCUUUAAUAAAUAGAAAAUAUAUAUAUAUAUAUAUAUAUAUAUAUAUAUAUAUU